AGAGUUUGAUCCUGGCUCAAAUUGAACGCUGGCGGCAUGCUUUACACAUGCAAGUCGAACGGCAGCACGGGAGCUUGCUCCUGGUGGCGAGUGGCGAACGGGUGAGUAAUGCGUCGGAACGUGCUGAGUAAUGGGGGAUAACGCUUCGAAAGGAGUGCUAAUACCGCAUACGCUCUGAGGAGGAAAGCGGGGGACCUUCGGGCCUCACGUUAUUCGAGCGGCCGACGUCGGAUUAGCUAGUUGGUGGGGUAAAGGCUUACCAAGGCGACGAUCCGUAGCGGGUCUGAGAGGAUGAUCCGCCACACUGGGACUGAGACACGGCCCAGACUCCUACGGGAGGCAGCAGUGGGGAAUUUUGGACAAUGGGGGCAACCCUGAUCCAGCCAUGCCGCGUGUCUGAAGAAGGCCUUCGGGUUGUAAAGGACUUUUGUCAGGGAGGAAAUCCUGGUCGUUAAUAGCGAUCGGGGAUGACGGUACCUGAAGAAUAAGCACCGGCUAACUACGUGCCACCAGCCGCGGUAAUACGUAGGGUGCGAGCGUUAAUCGGAAUUACUGGGCGUAAAGCGUGCGCAGGCGGUUGUGCAAGUCUGAUGUGAAAGCCCCGGGGCUUAACCUGGGAACGGCAUUGGAGACUGCCGACUAAGUACUCCGAAGGGGGGUAAAAUCCCCGUGUACAAGAAAUGCGAAAAAAUGUGGAGGAAUACCAAGGGAAAAGCAGCCCCUGGGAAGAUACUGACGUCAUGCAGAAAGCGUGGGAGCAAACAGGAUUAGAUACCCUGGUAGUCACGCCUAAACGAUGUCAAUUAGCUGUGGGGUUUGAAUCCUUGGUAGCGUAGCUAACGCGUGAAAUUGACCGCCUGGGGAGUACGGCCGCAAGGUUAAAACUCAAAGGAAUUGACGGGGACCCGCACAAGCGGUGGAUGAUGUGGAUUAAUUCGAUGCAACGCGAAAAACCUUACUGCUCUUGACAUGUACCGAACCUCUGAGAGAUUAGAGGGUGCCCGAAAGGGAGCGGUAACACAGGUGCUGCAUGGCUGUCGUCAGCUCGUGUCGUGAGAUGUUGGGUUAAGUCCCGCAACGAGCGCAACCCUUGUCAUUAGUUGCCAUCAUUAAGUUGGGCACUCUAAUGAGACUGCCGGUGACAAACCGGAGGAAGGUGGGGAUGACGUCAAGUCCUCAUGGCCCUUAUGAGCAGGGCUUCACACGUCAUACAAUGGUCGGUACAGAGGGUUGCCAAGCCGCGAGGUGGAGCUAAUCUCAGAAAACCGAUCGUAGUCCGGAUCGCACUCUGCAACUCGAGUGCGUGAAGUCGGAAUCGCUAGUAAUCGCAGAUCAGCAUGCUGCGGUGAAUACGUUCCCGGGUCUUGUACACACCGCCCGUCACACCAUGGGAGUGGGGGAUACCAGAAGUGGCUAGGAUAACCUUCGGGGGUCCGGUUACCACGGUAUGCUUCAUGACUGGGGUGAAGUCGUAACAAGGUAACCGUA
rnacentral:rRNA from 1 species